AACUUCUUCAACUUGGCGGUGCGACUCCAGCAUUGUCCAACCCGGAUCAUGCAGUGGAAGAGCUCAGCAUCCCGAGCAAGAUUUUGGAUUUCGUUUUGCAAAAUUUACCGGCCGGGGGCGAAAUGGGCGAAAUUCGGUUUUUCGGAAAAUUUCGGACGAAAUGGCAAACCAAAAUUUGAAUAAAAUCUGACCAAAAUUUGCACAGCCUUUUUUUAUAUAAACUAGAACAAUAAUAUACAGCAGAUUUUUUAUCAACAUAUACAUGUAAAGCCAUACAACAGCAUCUACGUAUCAAAACACUAUAUAUCAGACUUGAACAUUAGAUUAACAAUAUUAACCAUCUAGACUAGAACAUCAGAUAAAACUCCAGUAGAAUCUAUGCAUCACGGCAGCCUCAACCUCAUGUAGCCGCGCUCCACGGAGUUGCUGCGAUCGAUAGGGCAGGGCCAAGGACGGACGUUACCAUGGCCAGGACCUUCAUCCUCCAUGGGAAAGAUAAAAACGAAGAGGGGUGCUUGAGGAGGACAAGGCUGGGCAGACAUGGAGAGCUGGAAGAGGAGGAGGAGGCUAGGCAGAGGCGGCGCUGCCCCGUCUCCCUCGGCUCGGCCUGGGUUGCCUGCAGCUGCCGCACAGAAAACUGGUGACGGGGAAAACGAG
rnacentral:lncRNA from 1 species